rnacentral:lncRNA from 1 species
GAGGAGGGGGAGGACAGGGGCAGACAGACAGCUUGACAGAGAGGAGAGGAGAGGAGGGGGAGGACAGGGGAGACAGACAGCUUGACAGAGAGGCGAGGAGAGGAGGGGGAGGACAGGGGAGACAGACAGCUUGACAGAGAGGCGAGGAGAGGAGGGGGAGGACAGGGGGAGACAGAGAGCCUGACAGAUGGUUGGUGUUUGAUGUGGCCACUACGCCUUUUAUCAUGACAAAUAUGGCCACCAGCAUAUCUGGCAGGGAGAGAGGAAGAGGAGAGAGAGCGAGAGGAGGAGAGACAAGAGAUGGAGAGACAAGAGAUUGAGAGACGAGAGAGAGAGGAGGAGAGAGAGAGGAGGAGAGAGAGAGACAAGAGUGAGAGAUGAGGAGAGAGAGAGAGGAGGAGAGACAAGAGAGACAGGGGGAGAGACAAGAGGAGAGACAAAAGAGAGAGAAGAGAUGAGAGAGAGAGAGAGAGAGAGAGAGAGAGAGAGAGGAGAGACUAGAGAGAGAGGAGAGACAAGAGGAGAGACAAAAGAGAGAGAAGAGAUGAGAGAAGAGAGAGAGAGAGGAGGAGAGACUAGCGAGAGAGAGGGAAGAAGAGAGACAAGAGAGUGGGAGAGGAGGAGAGAAGAGAGAGAGAGGGAAGAAGAGAGACAAGAGAGUGGGAGAGGAGGAGAGAAGAUAGAGAGAGGGAAGAUGAGAGACAAGGUAGAGAGUGCUUACAACAGAGAGCAGGCAGAAGUCGAUCCUGGUUUGACAGGUCUAGUGAUGGCUGGGUAGAGCUAGCUUAGUGAGGGCUGGGUACAGCUAGCUUAGUGAUGGCUGUGUAGAGCUAGCUUAGUGAGGGCUGGGUACAGCUAGCUUAGUGAGGGCUGGGUACAGCUAGCUUAGUGAUGGCUGGGUAGAGCUAGCUUAGUGAGGGCUGGGUACAGCUAGCUUAGUGAUGGCUGGGUAGAGCUAGCUUAGUGAUGGCUGGGUAGAGCUAGCUUAUGAGGGGCUGGGUAGAGCUAGCUUAGUGAGGGCUGGGUACAGCUAGCUUAGUGAGGGCUGGGUACAGCUAGCUUAGUGAGGGCUGGGUACAGCUAGCUUAGUGAGGGCUGGGUACAGCUAGCUUAGUGAGGGCUGGGUACAGCUAGCUUAGUGAGGGCUGGGUACAGCUAGCUUAGUGAGGGCUGGGUAGAUCUAGCUUAGUGAUGGCUGGGUACAGCUAGCCUAGUGAGGGCUGGGUAGAGCUAGCUUAGUAAUGGCUGGGUAGAGCUAGCUUAGUGAGGGCUGGGUACAGCUAGCUUAGUGAGAGCUGGGUAGAGCUAGCUUAGUGAGGGCUGGGUACAGCUAGCUUAGUGAGGGCUGGGUAGAGCUAGCUUAGUGAGGGCUGGGUACAGCUAGCUUAGUGAGGGCUGGGUAGAGCUAGCUUAGUGAGGGCUGGGUGUCGCUGGCUAGACUCAUACGGCUACUGUGUAGGUUUGGUUUUAGAGGGUGUUGCGCUAGGAAGCGCUGCAGAGGGUAUGGGUACGCUAGGUCAGAAAUGGGCUUAUGGGAUUUGUAGUUUAUACACUUUGGGAGUUGUAGUUUAUAAACUUGUGUUUACAGGUGAACAGAAAACCUGCCGGUGAGGGAUUCUGGGUAUUUUAUUAGUGACUGCACAUAGAAAAUAUAGCAACCUUGCUUUUUAUUUAUUCUCUUAAAACUAAUUUUAGAAUGUUAAUGAUCAUUUUAUCUGGCAACGUAAAAACAACCCUUAUUUCCGUUUAUUUUUUAAUUUUUUUUACCCUCCCUCCAUCUUUAGAAAGAAGCAUUAUAAUGUUUUAAUAUUCACUCACCUGGGACUAGUCAGUUAUUGAACAUGUGUUAUUUUCAGGGUGUGUCUGGCACCACUUUGUUUACUAAAAUAAAAAGGGUCCGUUGCUCUCGCCGACUAUCAGCUGGGUUUAACCCUGCAAUCUGAAAACUGACCUGAGUUUUAGUAACAGUUUUGGAUUCUGCUACUUCUCCCCUCAAAACAAAAAAACAGAGGAGGGGGGGGUCGCCAGAGAGCGAGAGACCAAACCCGAACGGCGGCCCGAACGCUCUCUCUUGCUCGCCACUGGACAGAGCUGGCGUGUUUUUUUGGUUUGUCUUUUCUCCCUUGGAAACAGGGUACUUCCGAAUCUCCAUGACAACACGUUGUACGCUAUGAGAGUACAACGACAACUUUUUUCGGGGGGGG